rnacentral:rRNA from 1 species
GUGGGGAAUCUUGCGCAAUGGGCGAAAGCCUGACGCAGCCAUGCCGCGUGAAUGAUGAAGGUCUUAGGAUUGUAAAAUUCUUUCACCGGGGACGAUAAUGACGGUACCCGGAGAAGAAGCUCCGGCUAACUUCGUGCCAGCAGCCGCGGUAAUACGAAGGGGGCUAGCGUUGCUCGGAAUUACUGGGCGUAAAGGGCGCGUAGGCGGACAGCUUAGUCAGAGGUGAAAGCCCAGGGCUCAACCUUGGAAUUGCCUUUGAUACUGGCUGUCUUGAGUUUGGGAGAGGUGAGUGGAACUCCGAGUGUAGAGGUGAAAUUCGUAGAUAUUCGGAAGAACACCAGUGGCGAAGGCGACUCACUGGCCCAAUACUGACGCUGAGGCGCGAAAGCGUGGGGAGCAAACAGGAUUAGAAACUCCUGUAGUCC